GUUGCAAAGAACUUUGAAGAGAGAGUUCAAGAGUACGUGAAACUGCUGAGAGGCAAACUGGUGGGCCCUCGAAAUCCCGUCUGCGGGGAGAUUCAGUCGGGUGUCGGCGGCCGUCUCGCAAUGGGUCUGUCGCAACCGAAGAUCGGGGCACAUUCCGAGAGGCGAGUUCGCCGGAACCCGACGCAUUUCCCGCCCGCACGAAAGGACGCCGCAGCCGGUCGGGUAGCUGCGCGUGUCGGCCAUGAGGACGUUGCGACGGCAGGUGACCGGCGGCCCUAGGCUUCUCCGGAGGCACUAACGGUCGACGGUUGAUUAGCCGGCUCGUCCGUGGCGCGACACCCGACCGAGGAAACACGGACAUGAAAUUUCUCUCCACGGAGAGAAACUAAUAAUCCACUACUUUCAAUACGAGAGCGAGCCGUCGGACAGGCGCGUUCCUGCGUGGUCGGACAGUCACCGCACUGGUCGAUCUGGUGGGAGCGCGUCGUUGGUUUCCGAGUCAGGAUCUCGCGGAGGAUGAAGGCUGGCGGCGAGUAGGUCGGUAACCCACCCGACCCGUCUUGAAACACGGACCAAGGAGUCUAACAUGUGCGCAAGUCGCGGGGUCUUGCUCAGGCCCAGAGGCGAAAUGAAAGUGAAGGCCGCCGCUCUCCCUCGUUCACUCGGGGGCGGAGUGAGGCGGCCCGGUUGGGACUCGCACGUGACACGGCACGUGAACGAAGCACCAACGACCCGCCCUGUUCUAUCUCCCGGAUAGGAACUCAAACGGAGUUCGAGCGCACACGUUGGGACCCGAAAGAUGGUGAACUAUGCCUGGGCAGGACGAAGCCAGAGGAAACUCUGGUGGAGGUCCGCAGCGGUUCUGACGU
rnacentral:rRNA from 1 species